rnacentral:rRNA from 1 species
GAUGAACGCUGGCGGCGUGCUUAACACAUGCAAGUCGAACGGUGAAGGCGGAGCUUGCUCUGCUGGAUCAGUGGCGAACGGGUGAGUAACACGUGAGCAAUCUGCCCCUGACUCUGGGAUAAGCGCUGGAAACGGCGUCUAAUACUGGAUACGAGCUGCGAAGGCAUCUUCAGCAGCUGGAAAGAACUUCGGUCAGGGAUGAGCUCGCGGCCUAUCAGCUUGUUGGUGAGGUAACGGCUCACCAAGGCGUUGACGGGUAGCCGGCCUGAGAGGGUGACCGGCCCAACGGGGACGGGGACAGGGCCCAAACCCCAACGGGGGGCAGCGGGGGGAAAUUUUCCAAAAUGGGCGAAAGCAGGAUGGAGGAACCCCGGGGGGGGGACGACGGCUUUGGGGUUGUAAACCCUUUUUAGGGGGGAAGAAGCGAAAGGGAGGGUACCGGCAAAAAAAGCCCCGGUAAACAAGUG